GCCAACAAUAGCAGAUAUUCUGAAUUUAGGAUGGUGGGCCACAGCUGCAACCUGGUCAAUAGUGCAACAGUUGCUGAUCAGCUUCACGUUCCCCAGUUUUCUUGAUGCAGCUGAAAUGGAGGAGGAAGUGUCGAACUCGAUGAAUAAGGAAGUUUGCAUCACAGAGCAAACGCAGUACUACUUUGAGACUGAGAGCUUGUCUUUUAGCGGAUUUAUCGACUAUUCCAACGAC